CGCGUAGGCGGACCUUCAAGUCGGAUGUGAAAUCUUGCAGCUCAACUGCAAGCCUGCAUUCGAAACUGAAGGUCUUGAGUACAGUAGAGGAAAGCGGAAUUCCAGGUGUAGCGGUGAAAUGCGUAGAUAUCUGGAAGAACACCAGUAGCGAAGGCGGCUUUCUGGGCUGAUACUGACGCUGAAGCGCGAAGGCUUGGGUAGCAAACAGGAUUAGAUACCCUGGUAGUCC
rnacentral:rRNA from 1 species